UAGCUGGAAUUAGAUUUGAUUGGUUGAACCGCGUUCAAAGCUGUUCACGCGCGUCUGAUCUACGUAUGACGACGCAUGACCACGCGCGAUUUGAAUGCACAACUUUACAGAAGGUAGAAAAUUAAGAAAUCGCACGUAAGCGCGUUAAGGUCUUUAAAGGUGCAUUUAUGGGAAUACAUUAAAAGAACACUCAUCAUCAAUGUACUAAAACCUGUCCUGAAUAGUUUUUGUUAACCAAGUCACUCACCUAAGCCACAGUUUUUUUAUUGCAUAUAUUUUUGUUAAAUUACUUUAUAAUAAGAUGCAAUAACUUUAUGAAAAACAUUUUCAUAUUUAAUGUUAUAGUACAUUUUGUUUGAUAAUACAAAGUUUUUUAUUCAAUCACUAUUUCAGGUUUGGAACAUGCUGCUGAAGUUGGUUAUCAGGGCUCCAGGAUAUGUAUCAAACUGCAGGAUUGAUUUAUUUUUGCUCAUUAGUGAAGGUGGUAAGCUAAACUGACUGUGGACUAAUGUAUGCAUUGUUGAUGACACUGAAAUCGAGGAAGACAUUCUACAAGAUGUGCUGCUUACAGUUAGAGGACAAAAUGAAGAUGCAACAAGCAGCUUCUGCCACUGUCAUUUACCAUCUGAACUUGACCAAAGUCGUUCCAAGAAAUCUAAGACAACAGAUGACUCCAUGACCGAGGAAGACUCCUACAAGGAACCAGUGAGAGCAUAGACUGUGAUAGUGACAUGGCAACACUGCCUUUACUGCUCCAUCUCCUUCCACCAUCACCUCAACGGAAUCAGUGCAUCAGAUUUGCAGUGAGCAGGCUUGUGGUGUAUCAUAAGUCUUGUACCAGCCUUGAAGAACAUCUUCUGCAACGAGUAGGAUGACAACCGUACCUUACUGCGGUUAGCAGGAUCUGCGGCCAGAUUUGAGAACUUUGACGUGGCUUUUGAUAAGAAUCUCACCCCAUCAGUCGGAAGGCUCCCUUUUAUUAGCAUUUGACUUUGUUUUUAAUGUAAUGUAUGAUGAUGGACUCCUUUACUUUAACUAAUUUAAUCAAACAACAGUUUACAUGUUGGGAAAACUAGAGAUUGAGAGCUGAGAGCAAACUUUUUUUAACUAGCUGUAACUAGUAUCUCAUUUACGGUUUCAGCAUGCAUUUUGUCCUUGCCCAAAUUUCUAAUUAAUAUGUGCUGAAGAAAAUUGUGAUUACUUUUGUGAUGUAUUGUUUUACAGAAUGUUUAGUGAAAGAUUUGCUGUGAUUUGCCCUAGAUGUGUGUCAGACAUGGAUUUUAAAACACUUUUCCAGUUUUGUUUAAACUCCUUGGCAAAAUUGAAAGGACUGUAUACAUAACCACUCUCUGAAAAUUUUGAAAAAGUUCACAAGUGAAACUUUAUUUUUUUAUAAAUAUUUAAUAAUGUCAAAUAAAUUUGUUAAAUAAAUUUGUGGUCAAUAA